ACCAUCCUUUUCCUGGGGUAGCGCUACUGUCCAAUGAAUGAGUAGUAAGGGCAGUACUGCUAACGCCUACACAACAUGCCCGCAUCAACUAGAGCUUUGCUUUACUUUGGUGCAAUUUUUGGAAAA
ensembl:snRNA